UACGUAGGGGGCAAGCGUUGUCCGGAAUUAUUGGGCGUAAAGAGCUCGUAGGCGGUUUGUCGCGUCUGCUGUGAAAACUCGGGGCUUAACUCCGGGCCUGCAGUGGGUACGGGCAGACUAGAGUGCGGUAGGGGAGACUGGAAUUCCUGGUGUAGGCGGUGAAAUGCGCAGAUAUCAGGAGGAACACCGGUGGCGAAGGCGGGUCUCCUGGACCACUGACUGACGUGAGGCGCGAAAGCUAGGGGAGCAAACAGG
rnacentral:rRNA from 1 species